GGAUGUGAGGGCAAUCUGGCUGCGACGUCAGUCACCCCAUUGUUCGCCAGGGUUGAUUCAGCUGGUCUGGCUGGCUAGGCGGGUGUCCCUUCCUCCCUCACCGCUCCAUGCGCGUCCCUCCCCAAGCUGCACGCUCAGUCGAAGGGGACAACCUUCCCAGAACAGCAGAGACCGGUCCUCGGUCAAGAGUAUACAGUAGCUGCACUCCCCAGCUACAACCUCCAGACACACUCGCAAAACCCUACCUAAGAAAAUAAUAGGCCUCAAGAGAAGUACUUACAUGAGAACUGCUU
rnacentral:snRNA from 1 species